rnacentral:snRNA from 1 species
AUACCUUUCUCGGCCUUUUGGCUAAGAUCAAGUGUAGUAUCUGUUCUUAUUAGUUUAAUAUCUGAUACGUGGGUCAUCGGCCCACAUGAUAUUAAAUAAAUAUUUUUAGGGGGAGGACCCACCACAGUUGCUUGCUACUGGGGUCCUCGCGCGUCUCCCUUGCGUUGCACUACUUCACGGGCCGGGCGCACCCCAC